rnacentral:rRNA from 1 species
GACGAACGCUGGCGGCGUGCCUAAUACAUGCAAGUCGAACGCUGAAGGAGGAGCUUGCUUCUCUGGAUGAUUUGCGAACGGGUGAGUAACGCGUAGGGAACCUGCCUGUUAGCGGGGGAUAACUAUUGGAAACGAUAGCUAAUACCGCAUAAUAGCAGUUGUUGCAUGACAACUGUUUGAAAGAUGCAAUUUCACCACUACCAGAUGGACCUUCGUUGUCUUAGCUAGUUGGUGGGGUAACGGCUCACCAAGGCGACGAUACAUAGCCGACCUGAGAGGGGGAUCGGCCAAACUGGGACUGGGACAAGGCUCAGAACCCUAAGGGAGGGAGCAGUAGGGAAACUUUGGCAAUGGACGGAAGGCUGAACGGGGAAAGCCGCGGGAGUGAAGAAGGUUUUCGGAUCGGAAAGAUCUGUUGUAAGAGAAGAAAGAGUGUGAGAGUGGAAAGUUCACACUGUGACGGUAUCUUACCAGAAAGGGACGGCUAACUACGUG